CAGCUGGGGAGAAGCACCUGCUUUGCAAGCAGGGGGUCGUCGGUUCGAUCCCGUCUGCCUCCACCAAUCUUCAAUGACAAACGUUCAGGGAUACUGAGCAGUUGUCAUUGGCGAUUGAGCCAGUCAGAGGAUGAGCGAGAAGUAGCGCUUAUCGGCUGUCGUUCUUUAACAAUCUGGAAGAAGUAGUAAAGUGGAUAGCGGAAGCGCUUAUUUGAGAUGGGCGUGGAAGUUAUCCGGGUUGGGAUUGUAUCGAUGUAUCUCAAGAUGAU
rnacentral:misc_RNA from 1 species